CCUACGGGUGGCAGCAGUGAGGAAUAUUGGUCAAUGGACGAGAGUCUGAACCAGCCAAGUAGCGUGAAGGAUGACUGCCCUAUGGGUUGUAAACUUCUUUUAUAUGGGAAUAAAAUGUUCCACGUGUGGGGUUUUGUAUGUACCCUAUGAAUAAGGAUCGGCUAACUCCGUGCCAGCAGCCGCGGUAAUACGGAGGAUCCGAGCGUUAUCCGGAUUUAUUGGGUUUAAAGGGUGCGUAGGUGGUUUGUUAAGUCAGUUGUGAAAGUUUGCGGCUCAACCGGAAAAUUGCAGUUGAAACUGGCAGACUUGAGUACAGGAGAGGUAGGCGGAAUUCGUGGUGUAGCGGUGAAAUGCUUAGAUAUCACGAAGAACUCCGAUUGCGAAGGCAGCUCACUGGACUGCAACUGACGCUGAGGCUCGAAAGUGUGGGUAUCAAACAGGAUUAGAUACCCGGGUAGUC
rnacentral:rRNA from 1 species